UACGAAGGGGGCUAGCGUUGCUCGGAAUUACUGGGCGUAAAGGGCGCGUAGGCGGCGCUGCAAGUCAGGCGUGAAAGUCCUGGGCUCAACCUGGGAACUGCGCUUGAUACGGCAGAGCUAGAGGAUGGAAGAGGGUCGCGGAAUUCCCAGUGUAGAGGUGAAAUUCGUAGAUAUUGGGAAGAACACCGGUGGCGAAGGCGGCGACCUGGUCCAUUACUGACGCUGAGGCGCGACAGCGUGGGGAGCAAACAGGG
rnacentral:rRNA from 1 species